CCACCCUUCCCCUCUCCCUCCACGAGUUACUACGGGAUCUCUAUAAAAAGCCUAGAGUUGAUGGGAGAGCCCUGUCUGUAUGGGAAGAGACUUUGGAGAGGGACGACGGUGUCUGUGUGCGGACACGACAUGGCACAGAUUUGCGCACACAGCUUGGUGGUGCUGAAGACCGAUGGUGUUGAGAUGGUUCUACAGCAGUUCCACACUGGGAACUUCAACUGAGGGUCCCAUCAGCAGAAAGUUUGGCUCUUUGACUUCCACAUCUUUAUUACUUGGCCAGAGCAUCAGCACCUUGGCUUUAGACUGCUUACUGCUUAUACAGUGUCACGGUACAGUAACAGUCUACAGUCAUGGCUACUGAAGCCUAGCAAUGCACCAGUAUGUUGCCAAAGGAAACACAGACAGAGAGGAAGAAGAAGAUUAAUGGGGUUUGGCCCCAAAAUGGUUGACAGCUGAAGUUGAAUAAAUGUGUUGAAGAUUCUGUGUUUGUUCUCUGUGGCUCAGAAAGAGUGGGCUUGCGUUGGGGGAGUCCUACACGAUCUAUCUGCGUAACAUCCUUCCUCACACCAAUGAAACCUUGCGGUUCCCAUUUUCCAGUUUCCAUGCCAACUUCAGCUCCUCCUCCAUCUUGCUGUCUCCAUGGCAACCGUGGCUUUAGAUUGUUACUCUAGCAUCAGCACCAUGGUAACAGUCUACAGCCAUGGUCGUUAGGGAUAGUUAACAUCAAGAAAGAAAGGAGAGACAAGAAAGUUCUGAUUUAAUUAAGUUUCCUUUGUAAAUGACAUCGUCUGGUUCACAAACAAGGUCAGAGGUCAGUCAUGCGUUCUUGUAAACAUAUGUUCAGAAAAGAAAAGAUGUUUUUGCCAUGUCCUCAUAAUGUGAAUAAAUAUGCAGUACUGUAAUUCAGAGUGAUUAAGCUGCUCGUGACAUAGUCUGUCUGAUUCACCAAAAACAGUUUGACAACUAAACCCCCCCCCCCCAAAAGUAUAGCAGUGCCACAUUUAGUUUCUCACCCGUGCCUUUAUUGAAUAUAAUGAUUUUUUUAAAGGGUUGAUCUCUGAAUACAGUAAUAAGCUGAACCAAUGAGUCAGCCAGCUCCACCACCUGCUCAGCUCUCUGUUGAUCUGAGUAGAGCAACCUCACUUCAAAGCAGCAGAACCCAGAAUUCCCAGUGGGCAGUGGUGUAACCUGCAGGAAGAAACCACACACUAGAUCCACACAGGUGGGCUAACCCACUUAGACAUACCCCAACAUCACACACAUACAAAAACACCAACACACAAAGAAUGUAUUUGUCCUUGAGCCACUCUUCUUCAGCCUUAUAUCUAGAUUUACACUGCCAUCUGCAGGCAGAGUUUGAGCUGUUCAUAAAGUCUUUUUUUUCCACGUUUAAACCUAUUAGUAUUAUUAGUAUUAUUAUUAUGCAGAAACGUGUAUGAUUGUAUAAAAUAAAAAAAUGUCAAUAACGUUCUGUUUUGUGGUAAUAUUUAUGCAUACAAUUGCAUGAAUUACAGUGCAAACUUUUCUUACUUUGUUAGUGAUACGAUAUGAGAGAACAAAGAAGGUAUGCAAAGAAGUUUCUUUAACCGCCACAACAAUCUCUCAGGAAAAAAAUAAAAAACUGUUCUGAGAGUGCAGUUUUCAGGUGUAAGUGACAGCAUGGAGGUAUAGCAGUGUACCACUGGUACUGUCUGUGGCAGCUGUCUAAGCUCAGACUUCCUCAAUAUUUUGAAGGUUUGUAAGAACGAACUGGGAAAAUAAUAAGCGAAGGACACAGUGUUAUGCCAACAUGAGUAUAGAGUUGCGAGAGAAAAGAACAUGAUGUGAGAUGAAAUUCCACUUUGGAAAAAGCACAGGGACAAUACAUCAAAGUCAAGGAAAUGUAGCCGUAAAAUGGAAAAAGGAGAAAGAUGAAAGGAUUUCCAGUAAACAAUUUUCAUAUUGAUACAUGAAAUUAAAUCUUAUUCUCGUUGGCAUUUUUAUCUUGUGUUAAUCAAAUUUACUCAUAAACUUUAAAGGCUAUGGCUUUGACUGUGAUGAAUUAUCCUCAAUUUUCCCCUCCAGGUUUAUGGGAAAACACAUGGAAACGUUAGAUAUCUGUUUGUAAAAUAGAUCCACCUUUAGACAAACAGACUACAACAAUGCUUUUAGGUAAUAACUUUCUAGAAACUCCUGGAAAGUAAAAAGGUUUUAAUCUUUAAUGACAAGGAGAAGUCUUGAAUUUUUAUUAUUUAAUUCUGUUGUUCUAUUUUAUCCUCUCUCUCUCUGUCUAUCUAUUCCUAUUCUAUAUUGAAAAGUAAAAGCAGAUAGUGAAAAGUUGUUUUUUCCUCUGCCUCCCUGCACUGUAAGAGCUCAUGUGCUGACAGUAGAACAGCAGCACAUAAACUCUUACUGUUCAGGGCUGACAGGUAAACGUACUGUUUGUCUUCCUCUUCUGUUUCUCUGUCUCUCUGACAUAAACACACUCAGACACACACACACACACACUUGUCUGUCUUUUUGGUGAAAACUAAACAUAGUUCAUUUGCCCAAACUUAAACUUUUGCCAUUUUUAAUAUUAACUCUAAAUCUCAGCCUUAAAACUAAGGCUAUUUAGCAUUAUGUCCUAAAUAUUAUACUGGACCUGAAAAACGUUUUUGACUUCAGCUCCUCAUCUAAACAAGAACACACACCAGACUACAACUAAAUGCAUAUUCACUGAUUUCACUGAUAAACUGCACUGUUUUUUCACACUGUGGAACAAAAUCAUUUAUGUGUUGCGCAAUGAAAUACAACAGUUUUUUUUGGGUGUUUACCAGAGUCAUGUGUUGGUGAUUAUUAAAUGAUAAACAGCUUUACUGAAACAUUCUUUGUAUUUCUCUACAAAUAUCAGUGAGCUACUGAAGUGCUACAGAAAUGAACACUUAUUAUUAUUUUUUUUUUAUCUGGAAAUAUUCUCCAAACUGAGAAACAUUCCCCUGACACAAACAAGAUUGAGCAACAUUGCUCACAUAUUUUGGGGGGAGCCAAGACAUUACUCUCUCUCCUUCUCCCUCUCUCUCCCUUUCACUCUCCCUGUUGUAUCCAGACUCUACCAAAGUUCUCCUCCCUAGUCACAAUGACUAAUAUCUCCCCCUGCAGUGUCAGACACCUCUAAGGACAGCCAAACCACAACUCUCUCGGUGCCAGGGCCGAGGCUCGGCCUCUAAAAGAGUCCAGCAAAGCAGACAAGCAGAAAAAAUGUCUACAGUUGACAUCAUAGAUCAUCCAGCUGCUGUUCACACUUCAGAGGCCCGGGCUGUGUCCCUGUUUAACCUCUGUACAUCCACACACACUCACACAAUGCCUUGACCUGUGACCACAUCUGGAAUUCAGCUGAUGAACUGCCCCGGACACACCCAGGUUGAAGACAUAGCAUUUAAUCAAAUAUAUCUGUAUCACAAGGGAGGAAAAAAAAUUGAAAUAUAAAAAAUGACUUAGUGUCUUAUGUCUUAGCCAGUGGCUGGGAUCGAUGGAGGACAUCAGGGGUUUGCGUGCAGACAGGUAGACGGGUUUUAGCUUCUGUGGAACUACUCGUUGUCCACACAAACAGGAAACCCACAAAGGAGAAGAAACCAGAAGCGUGUGGGAAUGCAUGCAAAAAAAACCAAAUCCCACCCAUAUGGUAGCUGCGCACCCACAUAUGGACACACAUGAACAACUGUAGCUUAUUGUUUAAGACCAGGCACACACACUUACUGCGUAUAAACGAAGACAUUCAAUGGGUUUUGUCCACUGACAUCAAUACAGUUGCUGUGGAAGGUGCAAAAGAGCAGAGUCAUGGUUUUACUAUCACUUUUAACACUCUCCACUUUUGUUUGUCCAACUUUUGACGUUCGUAAAUACACAAUGCACUAUGUUGAAUACUACGAGUUUAAUAUUCUUAAAUCGAGCUGAAAUACUAAACUGACCAUUUGUCCACCUCAUCUUCGCACUAAACGUUUGUCGUGUCUUCUUCGCUCUGACCUGUGACUUUGGAGAAUAAAAUGAGCCUUUAAACCUGAUCAGAAGUCAUCAUCAACAACAACAACAACAAGAACAAGUGAAGAAAUACUUCUAAAAAGGACAU